rnacentral:rRNA from 1 species
GACGAACGUUGGCGGCGUGCUUAGUACAUGCAAGUCAACUGAAGCAGUGGUAGCAAUAUCGCUGUGGAGGUGGCGCACGGGUGAGUAACACGUAGGUAAUCUGCCUUCAGGUCUGGCAUAACUCCGGGAAACCGGGGCUAAUAGCAGAUGAUGCAGCGGCUCGACAUCGAGACAGUUGUUAAAGCUAUGGCGCCUGAAGAUGAGCCUGCGUCUGAUUAGCUAGUUGGCGGGGUAACGGCCCACCAAGGCAACGAUCAGUAGCUGGUCUGAGAGGAUGAUCAGCCACACUGGAACUGAGACACGGUCCAGACUCCUACGGGAGGCAGCAGUAAGGAAUAUUGCUCAAUGGGAGAAAUCCUGAAGCAGCAACGCCGCGUGAGGGACGAAGGGCUUUUGCUUGUAAACCUCUGUAGUGAGAGAAAAAAAUCCCAAUCUUUGGGACAUGAUGGUAUCUCAAAAGUAAGCCCCGGCUAACUACGUG